UAUGCACGCAGAAUAAUAUUGUAGGGUUGAAUCUAAGAACGCGAUUAUUAGAACCAACAAUUCUUGUUUAAAUUGAAUCAAUCCAUCUGUUGGUUUGUUUCUAAUUCGGCAUAUUUUUGAAACAACAAAAUUCUGUGUCGAAUGAAAUAUUGAUGCUCGAUUUUUUUUUCAACAAAUGACAAUUGUUGUUUUAACAAUAUCAUUUUGUUGAAUAAACAUUUUUUUUAUUGUUGCCAUUUUGUAUUUAAGAAAUAAUCAGAGAGUUAGAGGCGAACAAAUUUUGCUUAUUGUUGAAAAAUAAGUGUCGAUGGGAUAUUCGGGUAGCUGUAAUAACUUUGUAAUCAUAUGACAAAAUGCUGACAAAAAUGAUUUUACUAUUCAUGAUAGUUUUGGCGGUGUGAAUGCGAAAAGAAGGAAUGCUAUACACGCAGAGAAAUAUAUUGUAAAUUCGAACGAAAUCUAUAUAGAUUCAACAAAUUUUAUUGUUGACUCACGGCUUAUCGGCAAUUUUUGUUGACUCAAUGAUAACUUCCAUUUAUUCCUACAAAAUAAAUUGUUGUUUCUAAAAAUGUCCCAAAAUAGCCAGCUGUCA